ACGGAGUACUUCGGUACUUAGUGGCGGACGGGUGAGUAACGCGUGAGAAUCUGCCUUCAGGUUCGGGACAACCACUGGAAACGGUGGCUAAUACCGAAUGUGCAGUAAUGUGAAAUAUUUAUAGCCUGGAGAUGAGCUCGCGUCUGAUUAGCUAGUAGGUGUGGUAAUAGCGCACCUAGGCGACGAUCAGUAGCUGGUCUGAGAGGAUGAUCAGCCACACUGGGACUGAGACACGGCCCAGACUCCUACGGGAGGCAGCAGUGGGGAAUUUUCCGCAAUGGGCGAAAGCCUGACGGAGCAAUACCGCGUGAGGGAGGAAGGCUCUUGGGUUGUAAACCUCUUUUCUCAGGGAAGAAAAAAAUGACGGUACCUGAGGAAUAAGCAUCGGCUAACUCCGUGCCAGCAGCCGCGGUAAUACGGAGGAUGCAAGCGUUAUCCGGAAUGAUUGGGCGUAAAGCGUCCGCAGGUGGCUAUGUAAGUCUGCUGUUAAAGAGUCUGGCUCAACCAGAUAAAGGCAGUGGAAACUACAUGGCUAGAGUGCGUUCGGGGCAGAGGGAAUUCCUGGUGUAGCGGUGAAAUGCGUAGAGAUCAGGAAGAACACCGGUGGCGAAAGCGCUCUGCUAGGCCGCAACUGACACUGAGGGACGAAAGCUAGGGGAGCGAAUGGGAUUAGAUACCCCAGUAGUCCUAGCCGUA
rnacentral:rRNA from 1 species